UUGUUUUCUCUGAGGGCAUGGAGCAAUUUUUCGUCUGGCCAAGCUGCUACAAUCAUCAGCUUUUCUCAUUCCAAGAAGCGCUCGAUUGGCGGUUUCUUGUUCCUUCUGAUUUCCUUGUCGGCUCUUUCGUUAACUGCACUUAGUUGUCUAAUUUCUGACACAGGUCUGAAGUCUGCAAAUUCUUCCUUUUUAUAUU